GUCACGAACCCGCCGUUAACCGCGAAAGCGGUAUAACGGGGGCUUGAAAAAGUCCAAACGUGACCAGACUAAGUUCUUAGAGAACUCCG
rnacentral:ncRNA from 1 species